AGUCGAGCGGUAGAGAGAAGCUUGCUUCUCUUGAGAGCGGCGGACGGGUGAGUAAUGCCUAGGAAUCUGCCUGGUAGUGGGGGAUAACGUUCGGAAACGGACGCUAAUACCGCAUACGUCCUACGGGAGAAAGCAGGGGACCUUCGGGCCUUGCGCUAUCAGAUGAGCCUAGGUCGGAUUAGCUAGUUGGUGGGGUAAUGGCUCACCAAGGCGACGAUCCGUAACUGGUCUGAGAGGAUGAUCAGUCACACUGGAACUGAGACACGGUCCAGACUCCUACGGGAGGCAGCAGUGGGGAAUAUUGGACAAUGGGCGAAAGCCUGAUCCAGCCAUGCCGCGUGUGUGAAGAAGGUCUUCGGAUUGUAAAGCACUUUAAGUUGGGAGGAAGGGCAGUAAAUUAAUACUUUGCUGUUUUGACGUUACCGACAGAAUAAGCACCGGCUAACUCUGUGCCAGCAGCCGCGGUAAUACAGAGGGUGCAAGCGUUAAUCGGAAUUACUGGGCGUAAAGCGCGCGUAGGUGGUUAGUUAAGUUGGAUGUGAAAUCCCCGGGCUCAACCUGGGAACUGCAUUCAAAACUGACUGACUAGAGUAUGGUAGAGGGUGGUGGAAUUUCCUGUGUAGCGGUGAAAUGCGUAGAUAUAGGAAGGAACACCAGUGGCGA
rnacentral:rRNA from 1 species